GGUGGCUACAGGGUGUGGGUUUGUUGGUGCUGUGGGAAUUUGGGGGGCCUUAAGAAAUGUAAAGUUUGUCCCUUUGCUGAAUUCUGAGAAAGAGCAUGCUUUCCCGUGCUAAUCAACCCACCUUGCCACCUAGCACUUUUUUCUGUUAAGAGUUUUUUUCGUCAGCUCUUUCUCAAGUCUCAGUUUCCUGCAGUGAUGGAUUCCUACAAUGUUUAAGUUCAACAAUUCUGUUCUGGAUAAUAUAUAGCCAACCAGCUGUCAGGCUGAGGACAUCUCACCCUGCUACCAGAUUAGAUUACAUGAAGUAACAAGAUAUCUGUCAUAGAUUCAUAGCAGAGCACAGUCAUCGCUCAUAAAGUAAGUUUAGGCUGGAUGUUAUUGUCAACCUAUACUGUUACUGGCAAUCCUUUUUUUGUUUAAGACAAAGUUGAUUCAGAGUUGGUUCCUGAGAUAAUCUGUUGUGUCCCUUUGCAUAAUUCUGAGUCUGGAUGUCCUAAAAGGACAUAGAUGCUAGCAUUAUCUUUUGGAAGCCUUUCUUUCGACAGUGUUUAUGACUAGCUUUAGUCGGUUGGUGCCUCUUUCCUUGAAGGAUGGCUGAUGACUCCUACGAUUUGGACUGGCACAUGGAAUCUUGUGCUGUGACAUUUUCAAGAGAAAUGGCGCUUUGUACUGCUAGCAGGAAGAGUCAUUGUCCACUCUCUAUACUAUCUUAUCCUUUCCUUGCUGACGAAAUAAAACCGUGUAUUUGAUCUUCACAGGGGAAUGGAUAUGAAUGACAAAGACGCAAUGGCAGUGAGACAGACCAUGGAUCCUGGUGGCUGCAUUUCAGCGUCAUCCAGUGCCACAUGGCUUGAACGCACCUCUACACAAAUUGUCCGAUUUCCAUGGCCAUUCAUUGAUGUUCAUCCCUGGACUGCCCAUUGCCUCCACAGAAAAGAUGAGAAAUGCCUUCUGGCACCAAUAGGGACCCCAAUGAAUCAGCUUCAGAGACAAGACCAGACACGCAGCCGUGGCGUGUUGCCGUUCUCUGCACUCCGAGACGAACCAUCCGCUGCGCGGACCACCAGCGGACAGAGAUAGCUACGAUCGCGCAUGAAUUGAGUGAUCAAAGAUUUGUGAUGUGUGCGGAUGCAGCAAGUUGUCCUACGCAACUGCAUGCACCAAUGCAUGUGGGGUUCAGUGUUUGUACGUGACCCAUAUCCCUAUCUACUAAAGGGGACAAGCCGUCAAUGGCACUGUCCGUUCGCCAUGUGAGCGAACUGUUGUCGGGCAAGGCGAAGACGGCUGAAGGACGACGCCGGUUUUUCUGUAAACUGUGGGUCGGUAUACAGGGAACUGUUGGUACUUUGCCAUGAGGUCACAGGAUUUUCAGGGCCUGCAGGAAACUUUUGAUAUGAGCUAAUGAAUGUGGUGGCCGCAGCUCACAUGAUUACGGUGAUCCUUGUCCUACCGCAGUAUUUGGCUGCUGCAUUAUCAUCGUCAUCACUCGCCUGUGAAUUUAUGAGGUUUUGUCACUUGCUGACAGAUCAAGCUGGCAUACUGCACUUCUGUUGGAAAACAAAAAGAUGAAAGUUUAUAAAGA